UACAGGGGGUGCAAACGUUGCUCGGAAUCAUUGGGCGUAAAGCGCGUGUAGGCGGCUUUGCAAGUCGGGUGUGAAAGCCCUCAGCUCAACUGAGGAAGUGCGCCCGAAACUGCAGAGCUUGAGUACCGGAGAGGAUGGUGGAAUUCCCCAAGUAGAGGUGAAAUUCGUAGAUAUGGGGAGGAACACCGGUGGCGAGGGCGACCAUCUGGACGGAUACUGACGCUGAGACGCGAAAGCGUGGGUAGCAAACAGG
rnacentral:rRNA from 1 species